GUACCCCUGUCAGUUUGACUGCCACGUAGCUAUCAAUUGGGCUAGACUCCAUACAAGUUUGCUGCACACUUGUUAGUCAGGCCUAGUCGGCUUAGUUGUGUACUCUGGUGUGAUUAAUCUAUCUAUCCAACCAGAAACCACUGAAAUGUUACUUUUAUAUUUUUGCCAAUUUUUUUCGUGCUUUUUAUAUAUAUGAAUGGCGCUAAACUACCCGAACCAGUGGUGAAAAUUGAGGUUUUGCAUAAACCCUUUGCCUGCUUUCAGAAGUCGAAAUAUGGAGACAUACUUCUUGUGCACUUUGAGGGAUUUCUGGAGAGCAAUGGCACCAUGUUUCAUUCCAGCUGUAACCACAGGGACAAGAAGCCAGUGUGGUUCACCCUGGGGAUCUGAGAGGUGAUCAAUGGUUGGGAUAAGGGGCUGAAGAACAUGUGUCCAGGAGGGAGGAGGGAGCUCAUUAGCCCCCCCAGCUCUGGCCUAUGGCAAAGAGGGAAAAGGUGAAGGAAGAAAGAGUUUGAAAGACAUGGCUACCCUACACGCGUCAUGAGGCGAUGGUGCAGGACUUAUUCAUAUCUUCUAGAGAGUUUACCUACAAACAUAAUGAGCUGUAGAAGUCUGAAAUGGUUUACAGUAGGUCAAGCGACUGUCUGUGUCGUUAGCCCAGGUAUAAACCAGCCUUUACUCCUAUUAACAUGACAUUUUAACUGUUUAAUCGGUCAUGAACGUACAAUUAAAGUGUUCUGAGGAGCGCUCAGGAUUUACUGCUUUAUAUUUAUGUGAUAUGGGUAUUUUUCUGGGUUUUGCGGGUAUGAAAAUGCCAUUUUUUAAUGUUUUUAUUUUACUAGGCAAGUCAGUGACUUGAACAAAUUCUUAUUUACAAUGACGGUCUACCGGGGAAUAGUGGGUUAACUGCCUUGUUCAGGGGCAGAACAAUAGAUUUGAUCCAGCAACCUUUCGGUUACUGGCCUAACACUCUAACCACUAGGCUACCUGCCUCCCCAACUGCCUUGAAGACGUAUCAUAGAGAACACUAAAUCCAUCCAUUUCUACCCAAUGUGACCCAUGUACAGUUAUUCACAUUCAUUUCAAUGAUUUUCUGUAUAGAUACAUAUUUUUGUGUUAGUCUUUAGUUCAAGUACAAGGUUGAUGGUGAAUGAUGGGGUCACCAGUUUGUAAAGUAUCAUACAGUAUUCAUAAGAAUAUCUGUAUUUGUCAGCCACUGAAAUAAAAUGCCUUUUCAUAAAUCUCUCAGGAGAGUCAUGUACUCCCCACACCCCAUGGCAAACAUGGCCAAGUUGCAACUGUGCCACCAAGGCCUAGAGAGGCACUGAUAGUAGAGUACAGGAUGAACAGUAGAGGGCGCUCUUUCUUCUGUUUUCAUACCAAUACCCAAAGUCCAGAACAACUCCUUUGCUUACUUGGAGAGAACAGUUGAAGUGAAAAGCUCACAGAAGCCAUUCCAUCACAAAUAUUUGUCCCCCUUUUUCACACCAUCUGUAACACGGGUGAAUAAGCAGAUUACAUAGAGCAGCGGGGAAUACAGUAUGUACUUCUGCAUGAAUCUGAGUUGAAAAAUAAUUAACCAGAUCAUUCCUUUAUACUGUACAUUUCACUUAAAUAAGGUCGUCAGUCAGCCAUUAUCCAGUCCCGGCACUGUCAUUAUCAGGUCAUGGCACUGUCAUUAGCAACCAUUAUCAGGUCCUGGCACUGUCAUUAGCAGUCAUUAUCAGGUCCUGGCACUGUCAUUAGCAACCAUUAUCAGGUCCUGGCACUGUCAUUAGCAACCAUUAUCAGGUCCUGGGACUGUCAUUAGCAACCAUUAUCAGGUCCUGGCACUGUCAUUAGAAGCCAUUAUCAGAUCCUUGCACUGUCAUUAGCAACCAUUAUCAGGUCCUGGCACUGUCAUUAGAAGCCAUUAUCAGGUCCUGGCACUGUCAUUAGCAGCCAUUAUCAGGUCCUGGCACUGUCAUUAGCAGCCAUUAUCAGGUCCUGGCACUGUCAUUAGCAACCAUGCCGUUCACAUGAACCAUAAUGAGUUACAGUAGCUACCUCGAAUCCAGUAAGGAGGAACUGGUCAUUCGGAUCUAUCAAUAAUUUAUUGUAAUAAGCCAAGGUAAUUCUGUUUCUAAUAAUGGUGCUCUAAAAGGCAAGAAUGUAUGAUUUAAAAAUAACCCCAGUAGCCCCAGGGAAGCUGCCGUCUAAACAUUUCACCGCACCCAGAGGCCUAGCAAUAGAACAAUGACAAUGGCUACAUCUAUUGUGUGGUUCGAGGCCAUGCAUCCAUUGAUCUUCUAGAAACCAGGAUAAACCAGAAUCUUGAAAAUUCUAAAUGUGUAUAGACAUCUAGAUGAAUUUAGAUUUCUAGAUAUAGUUAGACUUUUAGAUGUAUUUAGACUUCUAGGUGUAUUUAGACUUCUAGGUGUAUUUAGACUUCUAGGUGUAUUUAGACUUCUAGGUGUAUUUAGACUUCUAGAUGUAUUUAGACUUUUAGACUUUUAGGUGUAUUUAGACUUCUAGAUGUAUUUAGACUUCUAGGUGUAUUUAGACUUCUAGAUGUAUUUAGACUUCUAGAUGUAUUUAGACUUCUAGGUGUAUUUAGACUUUUAGACUUCUAGGUGUAUUUAGACUUCUAGAUGUAUUUAGACUUCUAGAUGUAUUUAGACUUUUAGACUUUUAGGUGUAUUUAGACUUCUAGAUGUAUUUAGACUUCUAGGUGUAUUUAGACUUCUAGGUGUAUUUAGACUUUUAGAUGUAUUUAGACUUUUAGACUUCUAGGUGUAUUUAGACUUCUAGAUGUAUUUAGACUUCUAGGUGUAUUUAGACUUCUAGAUGUAUUUAGACUUUUAGACUUUUAGGUGUAUUUAGACUUCUAGAUGUAUUUAGACUUCUAGAUGUAUUUAGACUUCUAGGUGUAUUUAGACUUCUAGGUGUAUUUAGACUUUUAGAUGUAUUUAGACUUUUAGACUUCUAGGUGUAUUUAGACUUCUAGGUGUAUUUAGACUUCUAGAUGUAUUUAGACUUUUAGACUUUUAGGUGUAUUUAGACUUCUAGAUGUAUUUAGACUUCUAGAUGUAUUUAGACUUCUAGGUGUAUUUAGACUUCUAGGUGUAUUUAGACUUCUAGGUGUAUUUAGACUUUUAGAUGUAUUUAGACUUUUAGACUUCUAGGUGUAUUUAGACUUCUAGGUGUAUUUAGACUUCUAGGUGUAUUUAGACUUCUAGGUGUAUUUAGACUUCUAUGUGUAUUUAGACUUUUAGAUGUAUUUAGACUUUUAGACUUUUAGAUGUAUUUAGACUUUUAGACUUCUAGGUGUAUUUAGACUUCUAGGUGUAUUUAGACUUCUAGGUGUAUUUAGACUUUUAGAUGUAUUUAGACUUUUAGACUUUUAGAUGUAUUUAGACUUUUAGACUUCUAGGUGUAUUUAGACUUCUAGGUGUAUUUAGACUUUUAGAUGUAUUUAGACUUCCAUCCUAAUAUGUAUAUAUUUCUUAAUUCCAAUUCUUUUACUUUUUAGAUGUGUGUAUUGUUUUGGAUUGUUAGAUAUUACUGUUGGAACUAGGAACAUAUCCAUUUUGCUAUACCCGCAAUAACAUUUGCUAAAUAUGUAUGUGUGACAAAUAAAAUUUUAUUUUAUUUGAGAUGUAUUUAGACAUUAAGAUGUAUUUAGCUUUCUUCACCAUAUCUGUUAUUAAGUGAAAAUAAAACACAAAGUAAACCAAAUAACAUAUUUACACAUUUAUUUACAAUAUUGUAGAUGUUUUUUCUUCAUAUACAUCUCUGAAGUAAACUUUUAGCAGACUGGUAACAAUGAUGACAGAAGGCAUAGUCCAUUCAAAACAGAUAUUUUGAGAUCGUGACUAAAUAGUAAAUAUAUUAUCCACAAUAAAUAUGUAACAAA